UACGUAGGGUGCGAGCGUUAAUCGGAAUUACUGGGCGUAAAGCGUGCGCAGGCGGCGCCGCAGUCGAGUGUGAAAUCCCCGAGCUUAACUUGGGAAUUGCGCUCGAAACUACGGUGCUGGAGUGUGGCAGAGGGAGGUGGAAUUCCACGUGUAGCGGUGAAAUGCGUAGAGAUGUGGAGGAACACCGAUGGCGAAGGCAGCCCCCCUGGGUCAACACUGACGCUCAUGCACGAAAGCGUGGGGAGCAAACAGG
rnacentral:rRNA from 1 species